UGGGGAAUUUUGCGCAAUGGGCGAAAGCCUGACGCAGCAACGCCGCGUGGAGGAUGAAGGUCUUCGGAUUGUAAACUCCUGUCCUCGGGGAAAAAGAAAGUGAUGGUACCCGGGGAGGAAGCCCCGGCUAACUCCGUGCCAGCAGCCGCGGUAAUACGGGGGGGGCAAGCGUUGUUCGGAAUUACUGGGCGUAAAGGGCGCGUAGGCGGCCUGGGAAGUCUUGGGUGAAAGCCCCCGGCUCAACCGGGGGAAGGGCCUGAGAAACCACUGGGCUGGAGUGCUGGAGAGGGAAGCGGAAUUCCUGGUGUAGCGGUGAAAUGCGUAGAGAUCAGGAGGAACAUCGGUGGCGAAGGCGGCUUCCUGGACAGACACUGACGCUGAGGCGCGAAAGCUAGGGGAGUAAACAGGAUUAGAUACCCUGGUAGUCCUAGCUGUAAACGAUGACGACUUGGUGUGGGGGGUAUGAAAGUCCCUCCGUGCCGGCGACAACUCGUUAAGUCGUCCGCCUGGGGAGUACGGCCGCAAGGCUGAACUAC
rnacentral:rRNA from 1 species